CCCUUUAUUGCCGUCAGCGGUGGAAUGGUUUUUUCUGGUGUGGUGCAGCUUUCUGCUUCUGAUCAGUGGCGCACCGCUUCUUUUAGCGGGAGCGCUGACGGUUACCGGCAUUGGUGGAGCCGUGGUGGUUUGUGUUGUCCUCAUCAUCGUAGCGCUGCUUAUGCUACUUGUGAUUUUCAUCGUGGAUUGUGUAGCGGAGAUGCUUACAGACUGUACUUCAUGGAGCGAAGGAAAACAGUGGGAGCGUCUCCCCUACGCCAUCGUCUUCAUUGCGCAGUGCAGCAAAUGCCAUCCGUCCGAUUCGAAGAGUUUCCGCGAUAUUUGUAAUGAAUCCGGUGCUGGCGCUGAUUGCGUUUGCCUGGGUUGUGGAGCAGAUUUUAUCUGGGAAACGCAUGGGUACGGCAUGGAUAGGCUCGUCCUUAUGAUCGCACUCUAUCGUACUGCAAACAGUACAGGGACGCGUACAAACGUCGCAUGAAGAGCAACUCCGGUCCCCAACAGUCCUUGCCGCCGCCAACCGAAGCUACGAAUGCAAUGCUGACC